rnacentral:tRNA from 1 species
ACUUAGAGAAAACUUUGUAAUCCCCCCUUGUAACUUUAAUUGACAUAGACCCCA